GACGGACCCGUCGUUCCCGACGGAGAUCGCGGACCUCUGCGAGGGGAUCUACGGGACCGGCGGCGGCGGCGCGUACACGGGGCAGCUGCUGACGGACGCGCGGUCGGGGGCAGCGUACAACGUGAACGGCGCCGGCGGGCGCAGGUUCCUCGUGCAGUGGGUGUGGAACCCCGUGCUCAGCUACUGCUCCGGACCCAACGCGCUCGACCAGUAGCGAGCGGUGGCCAGCUCGCGUCUUCGUCGUCCGAGGACGCGCCGCCGAUGGAUGGAUGGAAGAUGGAUCCAUCAUCCAUCAUCUAUAGUACGUAGUGUUGGGCC
rnacentral:lncRNA from 1 species